AGAGGGUGCGAGCGUUAAUCGGAAUUACUGGGCGUAAAGGGCGCGUAGGUGGUCAGGCGAGUUGGCUGUGAAAUACCCAGGCUUAACCUGGGCAGGUCAGCCAAGACAGCUUGACUAGAGGACAGGAGAGGGUAGUGGAAUUUCCGGUGUAGCGGUGAAAUGCGUAGAUAUCGGAAGGAACACCAGUGGCGAAGGCGACUACCUGGCCUGUAACUGACACUGAGGCGCGAAAGCGUGGGGAGCGAACAGGAUUAGAUACCCUGGUAGUCCACGCUGUAAACGAUGACAACUAGCCCGUUGGUUUCGAGAGGAAUCAGUGGCGCAGGAAACGCGAUAAGUUGUCCGCCUGGGAGUACGACCGCAAGGUUA
rnacentral:rRNA from 1 species